rnacentral:rRNA from 1 species
UACGAAGGGGGCUAGCGUUGCUCGGAAUCACUGGGCGUAAAGGGUGCGUAGGCGGGUCUUUAAGUCAGGGGUGAAAUCCUGGAGCUCAACUCCAGAACUGCCUUUGAUACUGAGGAUCUUGAGUUCGGGAGAGGUGAGUGGAACUGCGAGUGUAGAGGUGAAAUUCGUAGAUAUUCGGAAGAACACCAGUGGCGAAGGCGACUUACUGGACACAUAUUGACGCUGAGGUGCGAAAGCGUGGGGAGCAAACAGGG